UAUAUAUAUAAUUUAAACUCUAAAAUAUCCUAACUUUUGACUUUCUCAUUGCCUAGACUUCUGUGACCAGGAAAUUUGGAAGCCAAGCAUAGGACACCAGGAGAGGAUGGAUAGAAGCAAAAUUUAUCAGAAUUAGCUUUGGAAUCUCUGACUCAUGUCUGGAAUAUCAUCAGCCAUUAGCACCAGACAAAAUGUAGCCACUGACAAAUCUUCUGGGAUGCUAACUUUACAAACAACUUCUACACCAAAGCUGAACCAAAGACAAAAUCAUUACACGCUGGUAUCCUGAAAACAUCUAUAUUAUAAGGUAGGCACUUCCAAUGAAAACAUUUGUCUUGUCAAAGAGCACCUAAUAAUAC
rnacentral:lncRNA from 1 species